UACGUAGGGUGCGAGCGUUGUCCGGAAUUAUUGGGCGUAAAGGGCUCGUAGGCGGUCUGUCGCGUCAGGAGUGAAAACUCGGGGCUCAACCCCGAGCCUGCUUCUGAUACGGGCAGACUAGAGGUAUGCAGGGGAGAACGGAAUUCCUGGUGUAGCGGUGAAAUGCGCAGAUAUCAGGAGGAACACCGGUGGCGAAGGCGGUUCUCUGGAACGCAACUGACGCUGAGACGCGAAAGCGUGGGGAGCAAACAGG
rnacentral:rRNA from 1 species